CGCAAGGUUCGGCCGUACAGAGCCGAUUAAUAGGGAAUCCGGUGUAAAUCCGGAACAGUGCCUGCUGCUGUAACUCCUCACGGAAACGUUUAUCGUCUCUCUGCCACUGACGCCCGACGUCGGGAAGGCUCGAUAAAACGAGGAGAAGUCAGAAGACCUGCCUUGACGCA
rnacentral:ncRNA from 1 species